rnacentral:rRNA from 1 species
GACCUCAAAUCAGGCAAGAAUACCCGCUGAACUUAAGCAUAUCAAUAAGCGGAGGAAAAGAAACUAACAAGGAUUCCCCUAGUAACGGCGAGUGAAGAGGGAAGAGCUCAAAUUUUAAAUCUGCCUUGUUCGCAAGGUCGAGUUGUAAUUUGAAGAAGCGUUUUCUUGUGCCGCGGCCGGUAGAAGUCCCUUGGAACAGGGCAUCAUUGAGGGUGACAAUCCCGUCUGUGACCUGGUCGUGCGUCCAUAUAUGAUACGCUUUCAAAGAGUCGAGUUGUUUGGGAUUGCAGCUCCAAAUGGGUGGUAAACAUCACCUAAGGCUAAAUAUUGGCGAGAGACCGAUAGCGAACAAGUACCGUGAGGGAAAGAUGAAAAGAACUUUGAAAAGGGAGUUAAAAAGUACGUGAAAUUGUUGAAAGGGAAACGC